AUUGAACGCUGGCGGCAGGCCUAACACAUGCAAGUCGAGCGGUAACACAGAGGAGCUUGCUCCUUGGGUGACGAGCGGCGGACGGGUGAGUAAUGCCUGGGGAUCUGCCCGAGAGAGGGGGAUAACUACGGGAAACUGUAGCUAAUACCGCAUAACGUCUACGGACCAAAGUUGGGGCUCUUCGGACCUCAUGCUAUCGGAUGAACCCAGGUGGGAUAAGCUAGUUGGUGAGGUAAUGGCUCACAAAGGCGACGAUCUCUAACUGGUUUGAGAGAAUGACCAGUGACACUGGAACUGAGACACGGUCCAGAAUCCUACGGGAGGAAGCAGUGGGGAAUAUUGCACAAUGGGCGCAAGCCUGAUGCAGCCAUGCCGCGUGUGUGAAGAAGGCCUUCGGGUUGUAAAGCACUUUCAGCGGGGAGGAAGGGCUACUAGUUAAUACCUAGUGGCAUUGACGUUACUCGCAGAAGUAGCACCGGCUAACUCCGUGCCAGCCGCCGCCGUAAUAC
rnacentral:rRNA from 1 species